GACGAACGCUGGCGGCGUGCUUAACACAUGCAAGUCGAGCGGUAAGGCCCUUUCGGGGUACGACGAGCGGCGAACGGGUAGGAGUAACACGUGGGUGACCUGCCUUUAGUCUCUGGGAGUAAGCCUGGGAAACGUGGGUCGUAAUACCGGAUAUGACUCCGCGGUGCAUGCUGUGGGGUGGAAAGCCUUGUGCGGCUGGAGAUGGGCCCGCGGCCUAUCAGCUUGUUGGUGGGGNGANGGCCUACCAAGGCGACGACGGGUAGCCGGCCUGAGAGGGCGACCGGCCACACUGGGACUGAGACACGGCCCAGACUCCUACGGGAGGCAGCAGUGGGGAAUCUUGCGCAAUGGGCGAAAGCCUGACGCAGCGACGCCGCGUGA
rnacentral:rRNA from 1 species